rnacentral:misc_RNA from 1 species
AACCAUAGAAACCUGCGGAGUACCUGCGGAAGGAUCAUUCAAAAGUGUCUAAAUAUGGACAACUUUAUCCAUAUUCACCUUGUGUGCACUGUUUCACCGUUGACUUUGGCAUGUUUAUUGAGCUCGACGAAGGUUUUUACCAACUUUCUGUGGUGCCUCAGACAUGUAAAGAGAAUCCUUAUGGACUCUGCGCGUGUGGCAUGCCAAAGUUUUUAUCCAACGAAAACACUUGAAAUUUUG